GUCGUGCAACAGUUGAGGAAGUAACCAGGGGAGAUUCACUUCCUGUCUUGUCCUUCCCCAGGGACAACUCCCCUGCUGUCCUCCGGCAGCCAAGCUCAGAUGAGCUCCAUUUUUACCCAAGGUGUGCUCCUCUCUUUGGUAGGGAAGGAGAAAGUAACUCCUUGGUCUAUUUGGCGUCUUUAAAAAGAGGACCUGGUAAUGGAGACUUCUUUUAAUAUGGAAAUGUGGUCUGAUAACAAGUUAUCAUUUAUUUCUGCAUGUAACUGAUCCAGUCUGUUUUCCAGAUGAGAGGUGUGCAAGCCCCAGAUGUUGAGAAGCUGUAUUUCAACUAAGAAAAAAAAUUCGCUUCCUGCAUCUGUUGGAAGAUAAUCAUUCAUACUUGCCAUCCCUUAUCUUUCUUGUGACAAUUUGCACAGUUCUUGCCAGAAUAAAUGCCGUUAUCUGUAUGUUUCAGGGAAUCCCCCAAUUUGAUCAUUUUGUGAGUGUGUGUAUGUGGUAUAUGUGAGAGAGCUUCAGUAAAAACACUUCUAAAGGGUGAAGGCUUUUUGUAUGGCAUAGAUAUGAAAUCCCUUCCUCUGGUAAUAAUUAGGUUGUUCCCAGAAGCACAGUGUCUUUCUUUAAAUAAAAGCUUUCCCGUUUAAAUCUUUUUUUUUUUUUUUUUUUUUUUUUGAGAUGGAGUCUCACUCUUAUUGCCCAGGCUGGAAUGCAGUGGUGCGAUCUUGGCUCACUGAAACCUCUGCCUCCCGGGUUCAAGCGAUUCUCCUGCCUCAGCCUCCCAAGAUGCUGAGAUUACAGGCACCUGCCACUACACCUGGCUAAUUUUUGUAUUUUAGUAGAGAUGGGGUUUCACCAUUUUGGUCAGACUGGUCUCGAACUCCUGACCUCAGGUAAUCUGCCCACCUUGGCCUCCCAAAGUGCUGGGAUUACUGGCAUGAGCCACCUCACCCUACUGCUUAAAGCUUUUCAAAGGAGUAGACUACCUUGAAGAUUCCGCCUAGGGUUGAUAUGUGUUUAAUUUGUUUUAUAAAAUUAUUCUUGUUUUCAUUUUAAAGCUUUGGCUAUAAAAUCAGAAAUGUCCUAAAUAAACUAUUUUCUAUUUAAUUUAGAGAAGAGUCAAGGGAAGAAAAAUGAAAACUUAGCCUUUAUGUAAGCUCCAAGAAUAUCACGGCUUAGAAGGCUUUUCUAGUUUUAUAAGAAUUUGUACUAUUGAUUUUUAUAUAUUCUUGCUUUUUGUGUUUUUUUGUUUUGUAUUUUUUGGGAUUUUUUUUUUUUUUUGAGAUGUAGUCUCGCUCUGCGUUCCAGGCUGGAGUGCAGUGGCAUGAUCUCAGCUCGCUGCAGCCUCCGCCUCCUGGGUUCCAGUGAUUCUCCUGCCUCAGCUCCUGAAUAGCUGGGACUACAGGUGCAUGCCAGCACUCUUGAGUAAUUUUUGUAUUUUAGUAGAGAUGGGGUUUCACCAUGUUUGAGGGUCUCAAUCUCCUGACCUCGUGAUCCCCCCUGCGUUAGCCCCCCAAAGUGCUGGAUUACAGGCGUGAGCCACCACACUCGGCCCUAUAUUCUUUUUUUUGAGAUGAAUAGCUCUCCAGGGAAAUUGUGGAGUUACAAUGUGGAUGACAUUUUGCUGUGAUCCCUCUCCAGCUCAGAUCAGUUCUGUAACCCAAUGACAACCUGUCUCUUGGGUUUACUAUCCUGUGAAAUGUCAGCUCAAGUUUCCCAGAAGUCAUGUGUGUAUGAUGAGUCAGAGUGCUUUUCCUCAGUGGGACAGUUCUUAAUUUUGGUGUAUGUGUUUCAAAGUAUCUAAACCUCUAGUCUGAUCUGUAUAUGAUACCCUGUCAAUUGUAUUAUUAUUUUGAUUAUCUUGCUUGAAGGUUCAUACAUUUCCAUUUGAUGGAAAUAAAAGGUUUUUUUUCUGCUUAUAAUAAAAUAAAAUGCAGUUUUAGAUUCAGUAGAUUUGGAGUAGAAUCUGAGAGUCUGAAUUUCUCUUAGAAUUAGCCUCUGUUAAUGCAGAGGCUAAUUCUACUCUAUUACUGCUAGUCCAGGGCACAUGUUUGGGAGCAAAGCUGUAGAGCUCAGUACAGGUGUCAGAGACCCUGUUUGAGAAUCUGAGAAGGGCUAUAGAACCAGUUCACAGCAAAAUGCAUAAAAACGUAAUUUAUAUGCAAUUGCAAAGGAUUUGCAGGGUCUCUGCACGCUACCCUUAGGCUCAAGGUUCACAGGACACACACAUCAACCUGGUUCUCACGAGUAAGUGAUAGGAAUCUUUAAAUAAUAAUGUCCAAUAUCUAUUGAGCACCUACUAUAUACCUUGGCAUUGUGCUGAGUGAUCUUGACAUAUUAGCUCAUUUAAUUUUCACAACAAACCUAUGAGGUAGGUACUAUUAUUAUCAUUCUCAUUUUACAAAUAACAGGUGGAUCACUCAAGGCCAGGAGUUUGAGACCAGCCUGGCCAGAUGGUGAAACUCUAUCUCUACCAAAAUUCCAAAAAUUAGCUGGGUGUAGUGGGGCACGCCUGUAAUCCCAGCUAAUGGGGAGGCUGAGGCAGGAGAAUUGCUUGAACCUGAGAGGUGGAGGUUGCAGCGAGCCGAGUUCACGCCAUUGCACUCCAACCUGAGUUACAGAGUGAGACUCCAUCUCAAAAAGAAAAUCAAUCAAUAAAUAAGGAAACUGGUUACAGAAAGUUCUAAGCAAUUCGUCCAAGGGUAUUCAGUGGAGUAUUCAGGAAUCCAGGGUUUAUGAAUCCAGGUGUUUAAUUACUAUGUUGUGCUGCACUUAAUGUGUAGUAAUUACUUUGAAGAAAGUAAUUACUUUCUUCAAAGAGCGUGAAAAUGUGGGCUGACUCUACCUGAGAUUAUCAAAUUCUGAUGGGUAUCAGAAUCUUCUGGGGGAAUUUGUUAAUUAUCAAACAAUGCUUGGAUUCCGGUCUAGCUUCUGAAUCAGAAUCUCUGGAAUGGGGCUGGGCGAUUGUGCUUAACUGAUACCCAAGAUGAUUCUGAUGUGCAAAAUUUGAGAAUCAUUGUCACAGACUUUCUGAAGUCUGAGUUUUAAGAGUCUAAAGGAAAGUUAAAUGAAGUUUGUUGUGUGAGAAAUUCUGACAGGGAAAGUGGUUCUGAGGGUUAGGAGGCUCCCAGAAAUGUACUUCUGACUCUGAUCUUUAUAAAGGAGAGAAGUGUAGAGUCUCUGGAAAAUUCCUUUGGUGUUCCAUCAGGAUUAUUCCUUAAUACAGUCACUUGGAAGGAGAAAGGCUCACUUUGAAAAGUUCACUUUAUUGAGGACACAAAAAAGUACUUAUAAAGGGGCACUGAUGAUCUGUAAAAAAUUAACCCCAUUCCCCAUUUCUUCCUCCUCCUCCUCCUCCUCUUCUUCUCCUUCUCCUUCUCCUUCUUCUUCGAUGGAGUUUCACUCUUGUCACCCAGGCUGGAGUGCAGUGGCGCAUUCUCAGCUCACUGCAACCUCUGCCUCCUGGGUUCAAGCAAUUUUCCUGCUUCAACCUCCUGAGUAGCUGGGAUUACAGGUGCACACCACCACACCCAGCUAAUUUUUUGUAGAGACAGCGUUUUGCCAUGUUGGGCAGGCUGAUCUCAAACUCCUGACCUCAGGUGAUCUGCCUGCCCCAGCCUCCCAAAGUGCUGGGAUUACAGGCGUGAGCCACCAUGCCUGGCCACCCCUCUCCCCAUUUCUAACCCCAGAUAAGCUUAAGUACGUGUGAGGGGGAAAGAGCUAAUAACAACAAGAAAAACGAGAUGUGUGUCGGUGGCGGGGUGGGGUGGGGGGUGGGGGCGCGAGAGCACAGCUUGUCUCUUUCCUGAACUCUUGCUUUACUUUUCCUUUUCUCAUUCAUUGAUUCCAGCUUUUUUUAAAAAACUGCCUGUGCCCUCAUUUUGCCAAGUACACUCUAGGAACUAGGAAGGCCUACUCCCUUCGCUUAAGGUCCAUUAACCACAAAGAUCAAUCCAAGGAUGAGUGCUAGGAGAGGAGCAAGUGCAGUGAUGGAAGAGCACAAAUGGGAUCCUGAGCAGAAGAGGAAUCGCAAGAUGAAAGAAGAGCAUAUUUUACUAUGAUUUCUAAAACAGGUAGAGCAGGUGUAUUGUGACUGGAGGCCAGUAACUACAUAGCAAUCCUACCUAAGAUUUGUAAUUUUAAUGUUUAAUUUUCAUCUGAGACAGAGUCUUGCUCUGUUGCCCAGGCUGGAGUGCAAUGGCACUAUCAUGUCUCACUGCAGCCUUAUCUCCUAGGCUCAAGUGAACUUUCCACCUCAGCCCCCUGAGUAGCUGGGACUACAGGCCUUGUGCCACUGUGCCCAGCUAUUUUUUUUUUUAAUUUUGUGGAGAAGGGGUCUUGCAGUGUUGUCAGUGCUGGUCUUGAACACCUGGACUCAAGCAACCCAAUUGCCUCAACCUCCAAAAGUGCUGAGAUUACAGGCAUGAACCACUGUACCCAAUCUAUUUUUAUUUUUUAAGAGACAGGGUCUCACUAUUUGCCUAGGCUGGACUUGAACUCCUGGGCUCAAGUGAUCCUCCCACCUCAGCCUCCUGAGUAGCUGGGGCUACAGGUAUAUGCCACUGUACCCAGUCUGUCCAAGAUUUAAAAAAAAAGAAUACAUGUGAUAUCUUUGAGAUUAUAGAUAUUUUAUAGGUCAUUAAUUUACAUAUUUCUGGUGACAUAUUUUUAAGGAAAUUGUUGAAGAGAUAUUUGUGGGCAGGGCAUGGUGGUUCAUGCCUGUAAUCCCAGCACUUUGGGAGGCCAAAGCAGACAGAUCACAAGGUCAGGAGUUCGAGACCAGCCUGGCCAAUAUGGUGAAACCCCAUCUCUCCUAAAAACACAAAAAUUAGCCAGGCAUGGUGGCGGGUGCCUGAAGUCUCAGCUACUUGGGAGGCUGAGGCAGGAGAAUGGCUUGAACCCAGGAGGCAGAGGUUGCAGUGAGCUGAGAUUGAGUCACUGCACUCCAGCAUGCAUGACAGGGUGAGAUUCCAUCUCAAAAAAAAAAAAAGAAAGAAAAAAGAAAAAAAAAAAAGAUGGCUUUCAUAUCCAAGUGAGGCUCCACCCCUUUCACGUCAUCCACAUCAACAAGAUGUUGUCUUGUGCUGGGGCUGAAAGGCUCCAAACAGGCAUGUGAGGUGCCUUUGGAAAGCCCCAGGGCACUGUGGCUGGGGUUCGCACUGGCCAAGUUAUCAGGUCCAUUGGCACCAAGCUGCAGAACAAGGAGCAUGUGAUUGGACCCUGCACACGGCCAAGUUCAAGUUCCCUGGCCACCAGAAGAUCCACAUCUCCAAGAAGUGAGGCUUCACCAAGUUCAAUGCCAGUGAAUUUGAAGACAUGGUGGCUGAGAAGCGGCUCAUCCCAGAUGGCUGUGGGGCCAAGUACAUCCCUGAUCAUGGCCCUCUGGACAAAUGGUGGGCCCUGUACUCAUGAGGGCUUCCACUAUGCUGCCCCCUCUUAAUACUCACCAAUAAAUUCUACUUCCUGUC